rnacentral:rRNA from 1 species
AUACGUAGGUGGCGAGCGUUAUCCGGAUUUACUGGGUGUAAAGGGCGCGUAGGCGGGGAUGCAAGUCAGAUGUGAAAUCUAUGGGCUUAACUCAUAAACUGCAUUUGAAACUGUAUUUCUUGAGUGCUGGAGAGGUAGACGGAAUUCCUUGUGUAGCGGUGAAAUGCGUAGAUAUAAGGAAGAACACCAGUGGCGAAGGCGGUCCACUGGACAGUACCUGACGCUGAGGCGCACAGGCGUGGGGAGAAAACAGGAUUAGAUACCCUGGUAGCCCACGCCGUAAACGAUGAAUACUAGGUGUGGGGGGACUGACCCCCUCCGUGCCGCAGUUAACACAAUAAGUAUUCCACCUGGGGAGUACGGCCGCAAGGUUGAAACUCAAAUGAAUUGGCGGGG